rnacentral:rRNA from 1 species
AGUGAACGCUGGCGGUAGGCCUAACACAUGCAAGUCGAACGGCAGCACAGUAAGAGCUUGCUCUUACGGGUGGCGAGUGGCGGACGGGUGAGGAAUACAUCGGAAUCUACUUUUUCGUGGGGGAUAACGUAGGGAAACUUACGCUAAUACCGCAUACGACCUACGGGUGAAAGCAGGGGAUCUUCGGACCUUGCGCGAUUGAAUGAGCCGAUGUCGGAUUAGCUAGUUGGCGGGGUAAAGGCCCACCAAGGCGACGAUCCGUAGCUGGUCUGAGAGGAUGAUCAGCCACACUGGAACUGGGACACGGUCCAGACUCCUACGGGAGGCAGCAGUGGGGAAUAGUGGACAAUGGGCGCAAGCCUGAUCCAGCCAUACCGCGUGGGUGAAGAAGGCCUUCGGGUUGUAAAGCCCUUUUGUUGGGAAAGAAAAGCAGCAGGUUAAUACCCCGCUGUUCUGACGGUACCCAAAGAAUAAGCACCGGCUAACUUCGUG